GUGCUCUGGAGGUCUUUAUAGAUCUGUGAGUUUAUGAUUUUAUGACUAACACCUCUUCUUCAUGAUAACAGAUCCAAAAGCAAACAUGACUUUAAUAGCCGUCAUUAUUUGGACACUCACAACCUGCACCUGGAGUUCUGUGGGACAAACUCUGACUCAAUCUGAAGCUCAAACUGUUCAGCCUGAUCAGACUGUCACUAUUAACUGUAAUCAUAAACCAGCAAUAAACUGUAUUAAAACAAAAGGCUCUGAUCAGUAUUGCAUGUCCUGGUACCAUCAGAUUCCUGGAGAAGUUCCUAAACUCCUGAUCUAUGCCACAUCAGACAGAGCUUCAGGUGUUUCUUCUAGAUUUAGUGGCAGUGAAAGUGGAAACCACAUGGAUUUUACUCUGACUAUCAGUGGAGUCCAGCCUGAAGAUUCAGGAGUUUAUUACUGUCAGAGUGAACAUUAUUUGACCAGCACGAACUCAGUGUUCACACAGUGUAAAAUCAUCAUACAAAAACCCUUUUUGGCUGAGACUUCAGCGCUGCAGCUUUGAGCUUCUGCAGAUGUUGAUGCUGAAGAUCAUUAUUCACCUCACUGACUUUACACACAUAAACAUUUUAAGGCUGGAGAACUGUUAAUGUUCAUUAGUCACAAACUCAACACAUUCAGUAUAUAUUUGAUCAAUAAUAAACAUAAAAAUGCUCAAUCGUAUUUCCACUUGAAUUAUAAUACAAUAAAGGAAGAAAGCUCACUGUGGCAUAAGAUUUCAUAUGUUUAAUAUAUUUCACCUCUAAAUUGACUUAAAUUGAAAAACUUCUUGAUGAGAAAUGAAUUCUGUUCCAUAUAUGAAUAUGAAUUAUGAAUAUGAAUUCCAUAUUCUGUGUCUGAAUCCACAUUUGUCUGCCUUCUCUGUCCAAAAUUACAAGACACCAUCCCUACAGUAUUAUUAUAUAUAUAUGUGAAGUUUAAUUGGACUCUUAUGAAUUAUCAACAUCAACAUCAAAAUAAAAAAUUAAUAAAGAUGAUAGUAAAUUAUUAUUAUUAUUUUUAAAUCUUUUUAAUUUCAGGUAAAUAUCUUAGAAUACUAAUACUUCCACAUAAGAGAUACACACUUAAUGAUUCAAAAAGCUUUUAUUUGGCAAAAAUUGUUGUUUAAUAUCACAAUCAAUAUAUGUGUAAAUGUGUAUGAAAACACAGGAUUCAAGAAAAAUUAACUUAUAGAGCAAAUUGUAAAACAAUGCUGACAAACCUUAAUGAACAAUGUGUGUAUGUGUGAGUAAAUAAAUGAUUAUGCAUGCCUAUAAUCUCUGUGUGAUGUGUGUGUGUUUCACUGGUCAUCACACUGCUGUGUGUUCAGGCUCUCGGUCACUGCAUUCUGGGAUGGGGAGUUUCAUUCUUCUUAAAAACAGCUCUAUCAGUCUUUCACUUCCCUUUAAGAGAUUCAGAGUUAAUCAAGCAGAUCUGAGGUGCAACAGCCUGUAAAAACACAUUUACCAGCAAUCACACAUAUGUCUAUGCUUAAAAAAGAUUAAUCAUGCAUUAUAUUAUAUCAUAGAUCUUUAAUUUUUCAAUAAUCUAUUUUUUCAUUUGUUCAAAUUAUUAAAAGAUUUCUUUUUAC